UACCUCAAAAUUCCGCAACAGUCUGUUUCAUCAGUAAAACCGCCUGAUGAUUCUUUACUGAUGAAACAGACUGUUGCGGAAUUU
rnacentral:miRNA from 1 species